rnacentral:rRNA from 1 species
AGUGAACGCUGGCGGUAGGCCUAACACAUGCAAGUCGAACGGCAGCACAGUAAGAGCUUGCUCUUACGGGUGGCGAGUGGCGGACGGGUGAGGAAUACAUCGGAAUCUACUUUUUCGUGGGGGAUAACGUAGGGAAACUUACGCUAAUACCGCAUAUGACCUACGGGUGAAAGCAGUGGAUCUUCGGACCUUGCGCGAUUGAAUGAGCCGAUGUCGGAUUAGCUAGUUGGCGGGGUAAAGGCCCACCAAGGCGACGAUCCGUAGCUGGUCUGAGAGGAUGAUCAGCCACACUGGAACUGAGACACGGUCCAGACUCCUACGGGAGGCAGCAGUGGGGAAUAUUGGACAAUGGGCGCAAGCCUGAUCCAGCCAUGCCGCGUGAGUGAAGAAGGCCUUCGGGUUGUAAAGCCCUUUUGUUAGGAAAGAAAAGCAGCAGGUUAAUACCCCGCUGUUCUGACGGUACCCAAAGAAUAAGCACCGGCUAACUUCGUG